rnacentral:rRNA from 1 species
AGUGAACGCUGGCGGUAGGCCUAACACAUGCAAGUCGAACGGCAGCACAGUAAGAGCUUGCUCUUACGGGUGGCGAGUGGCGGACGGGUGAGGAAUACAUCGGAAUCUACUUUUUCGUGGGGGAUAACGUAGGGAAACUUACGCUAAUACCGCAUACGACCUACGGGUGAAAGCAGGGGAUCUUCGGACCUUGCGCGAUUGAAUGAGCCGAUGUCGGAUUAGCUAGUUGGCGGGGUAAAGGCCCACCAAGGCGACGAUCCGUAGCUGGUCUGAGAGGAUGAGCAGCCACACUGGAACUGAGACACGGGCCAGACUCCUACGGGAGGCAGCAGUGGGGAAUAUUGGACAAGGGGCGCAAGCCUGAUCCAGCCAUACCGCGUGGGAGAAGAAGGCCGUCGGGUUGUAAAGCCCUUUUGUUGGGAAAGAAAAGCAGCAGGUUAAUACCCCGCUGUUCUGACGGUACCCAAAGAAUAAGCACCGGCUAACUGCG